rnacentral:rRNA from 1 species
UACGUAGGGGGGCAAGCGUUGUCCGGAAUCAUUGGGCGUAAAGAGCGUGUAGGCGGCUUGGUAAGUCCGCUGUGAAAGUCCAGGGCUCAACCCUGGAAUGCCGGUGGAAACUGUCAGGCUCGAGUCCGGAAGAGGCGAGUGGAAUCCUGGUGUAGCGGUGAAAUGCGCAGAUAUCAGGAGGAACACCAAUGGCGAAGGCAGCUCGCUGGGACGGUACUGACGCUGAGACGCGAAAGCGUGGGGAGCAAACAGG